GGGUUUACACAGAUUUCAAAAAAUGGUACUCUGCCUUCACACGGCAGGGGUCACAGGUUCAAAUCCUGUACCGCCCACCA
rnacentral:tRNA from 1 species